GGGCAAUAAUCCCAAUCAGCAGCAGACCCUCCCUCCCAGACCCUCCCACCUCCUGGACAGCAUCCAUUUUGAAGCUGCAUUCUUAGUGAGCUGUCCAGGAGGUGGGAGGGUCUGGGAGGGAGGGUCUGCUGCUGAUUGGCUGGAAUGU